GGCCUGGUAGCUCAGCUGGUUAGAGCGCCGCCCUGUCACGGCGGAGGUCGUGGGUUCGAACCCCAUCCAGGUCG
rnacentral:tRNA from 2 species